GACGAACGCUGGCGGCGUGCUUAACACAUGCAAGUCGAACGGAAAGGCCCUGCUUUUGUGGGGUGCUCGAGUGGCGAACGGGUGAGUAACACGUGAGUAACCUGCCCUUGACUUUGGGAUAACUUCAGGAAACUGGGGCUAAUACCGGAUAGGAGCUCCUGCUGCAUGGUGGGGGUUGGAGAGUUUCGGCGGUUGGGGAUGGACUCGCGGCUUAUCAGCUUGUUGGUGGGGUAGUGGCUUACCAAGGCUUUGACGGGUAGCCGGCCUGAGAGGGUGACCGGCCACAUUGGGACUGAGAUACGGCCCAGACUCCUACGGGAGGCAGCAGUGGGGAAUAUUGCACAAUGGGCGGAAGCCUGAUGCAGCAACGCCGCGUGCGGGAUGACGGCCUUCGGGUUGUAAACCGCUUUCGCCUGUGACGAAGCGUGAGUGACGGUAAUGGGUAAAGAAGCACCGGCUAACUACGUGCCAGCAGCCGCGGUGAUACGUAGGGUGCGAGCGUUGUCCGGAUUUAUUGGGCGUAAAGGGCUCGUAGGUGGUUGAUCGCGUCGGAAGUGUAAUCUUGGGGCUUAACCCUGAGCGUGCUUUCGAUACGGGUUGACUUGAGGAAGGUAGGGGAGAAUGGAAUUCCUGGUGGAGCGGUGGAAUGCGCAGAUAUCAGGAGGAACACCAGUGGCGAAGGCGGUUCUCUGGGCCUUUCCUGACGCUGAGGAGCGAAAGCGUGGGGAGCGAACAGGCUUAGAUACCCUGGUAGUCCACGCUGUAAACGGUGGGUACUAGGUGUGGGGUCCAUUCCACGGGUUCCGUGCCGUAGCUAACGCUUUAAGUACCCCGCCUGGGGAGUACGGCCGCAAGGCUAAAACUCAAAGGAAUUGACGGGGCCCCGCACAAGCGGCGGAGCAUGCGGAUUAAUUCGAUGCAACGCGUAGAACCUUACCUGGGUUUGACAUGGAUCGGGAGUGCUCAGAGAUGGGUGUGCCUCUUUUGGGGUCGGUUCACAGGUGGUGCAUGCCUGUCGUCAGCUCGUGUCGUGAGAUGUUGGGUUAAGUCCCGCAACGAGCGCAACCCUUGUUCACUGUUGCCAGCACGUUAUGGUGGGGACUCAGUGGAGACCGCCGGGGUCAACUCGGAGGAAGGUGGGGAUGACGUCAAGUCAUCAUGCCCCUUAUGUCCAGGGCUUCACGCAUGCUACAAUGGCUGGUACAGAGAGUGGCGAGCCUGUGAGGGUGAGCGAAUCUCGGAAAGCCGGUCUCAGUUCGGAUUGGGGUCUGCAACUCGACCUCAUGAAGUCGGAGUCGCUAGUAAUCGCAGAUCAGCAACGCUGCGGUGAAUACGUUCCCGGG
rnacentral:rRNA from 1 species